UCGAUGUCUUUCUCUCCCGCAGAGCUGGCCUUCCCGCCUACCACAAACGUGUUCUACGCCAUGAACAGCUCCUGCCAGGACUUCAUGCUCCGGGCCAAGCAGGGGAAGCCAGCCCCAGUGGCCCCGCCGCCCCCGCCUAGGACCCCCACGCCUAAGGGGGUGGAAAUCAGCGCCACUUUCCCAAAGAUCAAAGCCACCGGGCGCAAGAUUGCCAAAGCCCUCUUCUGAAGCAGAGAAGGCAGCCCCUCGAUGACGGACGAGCCCGGGCACCACCCAGUCGGCGCGGCAAACAGAGACCUAUUUUUAACCUGCUCCCGAGGGGGGGGGAGAGGAAAUGGGUGGGCUGCCUGCCCCUGUUGGGAUUUGCCAACAGCCGCCUUGACUUGGGGCGUCCGCCCUGGCCAAACUGGAAGGUUCCUGCUCUCCGUUCUGGCAGCUGCUUUCGCCCUGGAGACCGACUGGAGUUUCCUGAAGCUUUCAGGAAUGUGACGCAUUUUGCACUUGGUGCCAGGAAGAAUUUUACAUGGCUGUUUUUGGCACCAGCCAGCCAGAGCUGCAUGGAUGACAUCCUCCCCCUACCCCUCCCCACAGCUGCUGACACAACAGCUACUUCUCGCCCCAGAAGGUGCCCCGUUUUGAUGCUUCCUGAGUUGGGUGCCUUUUCUGCGUUCGAGUUGGAUGCCCACCUGACGUGCCUUAAUUGUGACACAGUGGCCAAAAGACAGAACUUUCCCAAGACACACACACCCUUCCUGCCUUAGCUGGAAAUGCCUGCUAUUUUUGCUCCUUCCGGGGCAGGCGCUCUGAUCCUCUGCUCAUCCUUUCUAGUUAUCCAGUAGGGCCUCCGGUAUCCAUAGGGGGUCAGUUCCAAUCCCCCUCCCCGCGGAUGCUGAAAAACGUGGAAGCAUGAAACAGAAUAGAUACUGCAUGGUCUCUGGCACCCUCUAGGGGCCAGUUCAGAGAAAUACGGUAUUUUCAGCCCAGCGGAUAAGUGAAUCAGUGGAUGGGCGGGUCCUGCUGUCCACCUCUAAGCACAGGUGGGCAUCCAUGGAGCCACGCAAAAGGAGAAUGACUGCUUUACGUUCAUACGCCCAAAGAAGGCACCAGAAGAGGCAAGAAGGGGUUUCCUCAGGGAAUCUUAGCUGGAUGCUGAGAUGCGUUAAUUGGCCCCCCCUUCCAACGCUGCUGCUGUUGCCUGCCCCCCCUCUUACGAAGUCUGUGCAGCAGAGCCUGGCUCUGCUUUGCUUCUCAAUACAAUUUAACACUAAUUUCCUUUUUUUAAAAA